GCGGGAAUAGCUCAGGUGGUAGAGCGUCAGCCUUCCAAGCUGAAUGCCGCGGGUUCGAGUCCCGUUUCCCGCUCCA
rnacentral:tRNA from 3 species